AUGUAUGGCACGCCUGAACCACUUUUAUAGAUAAUCCUAGAUUAUCUCAGAUAAACCAGGAUUUUCUCAGAUAAACUAGGAUUAUCUCACUUUUUUACAUUAAGCUCAGAUAAACCGGGAUUAUCUCGAUUUUUUCCAGAUAAUGCGGGUUUAUCUCAGAAUUUUCAGAUAAACCGGGAUUUUCUCCAGAUAAUGAAUUUUCUAUAUUUUCUCAGAUAAACUAGAAUUUUCUCGAAUUUGAAUUAAGCUGAGAUAAUCCUAGUUUAUCUGAGAUAAACCGGGAUUAUCUGAGAAAAUCCGGGAUUAUCUGAAAAUUCUGAGAAAAUUGAUUAUCUGAAAAAAAGGAGCCAAUAGAAAGUCACGACACAUUGGAAGAUAAUUUCAUGGUCAUAAGGGAUAAGAUAUAGAGACCAUGGUGCAUCUAUACAGACAGAAUAAUGAAAGAUAAGACUCUUACGGGAAACGUUUUAGAACGUUUAAUUUUUUCUAAAUUUUAUAAAAAAUAACAAUUGAUUUAUUUAGGAUGUACAUGUAUUACAGGUAUAUCGAUAUUAAUGAAGAUCAGAGGGAAGUUGUCUUGAGAGUUUCUUUUAAAGAGAAUUUGAAUGUAAUAUCCGUAUUUUUCCUUAUGAAGAUAGUGAAAUAUGUUACAUAAAUCUGACAUCCGCACAAUUAACUAGGACAAAUAACUUUAAUGUUGAAAUAAGUUUAGCACAGAUGAAAUACACCAUUUAGAAGUCCUAAAGGGUUUCCUUUUAGAAAGUUAUAAUCUUAAUUAAAAAAGAUAUCACGCUCCAUUUUUCUUUCCGUAAUUUUCUCUAUUAAAACAGUGAAAUAUGGUAUCAUACAUUUUAUUGCUUAAUGUUACAUUUUAGUACUUACAUUUUGU
rnacentral:lncRNA from 1 species